GCCAGUGCAUGGCCAGCGAGAAGCCGAAGAGGCUCCCGGGGUCCCCGGUUUUCUCGAUCACAUUGUCCUCGCGGGUGUCCAAGUUGAAGGCGGCGCCGAGCCGGGGCAGGAGCCCCGCCGACAGAUGAGAAAACUGAAGCUCAGCCUUGCCCCGGAGCAUCCAGGGAUCUGUGCCCAGCUUAAAAGAAGAAUUUGGGGGAGAAGUCACACUGGCGUAGGCAACUUAAAACUUGGUUUCCAGGUGUUCUGAGACUCAAAAGCCACUCCACAGUAAAGGAUGCAUUAUUUAAAGUGGCACCCACGAGCUAAGGAGCCCCUCUUUUCUGCCCUCAAAUUCCUAGGACUAGUUGGAAGGAAAACCUCCCCGCAGAGAGAGCUCUGAGCUCUGUGUGGGUGGCCUAAAGGCUCCAGCCUCCAGGACGUGGGGUGGGGCUUCCAGUGAAGUGUGAACCCCUGGGGUAACUUUAUCCAGGAGGAGUUCUUAACCAGGGGAGAGAGAAUUCAGGUUACUAUGAAUUUGGAUGACAAAAAAUUUUUACACUUUUAUUUUCACUAAUCCUCUAACUGACAUUUAGCAUUUCCUUCCGUUAUGAAUGUAGGCAACACCACAGUGGCAGUAGGUAUCUAUGACUUAGUCUCCUGUAGAACCCAUAGGUUGUUUACAUCACAUACACUUGUUGCAAAUAUCUUAAAUUACAGUAGUUAUUAGAUAAAACUCUCAGCUAGAUCUUAUUAUAUAAUGUCAAUUUAAAAGUAUGUAUCAUAUUGCUUAAACAUUGUGUUAACUAUAUUUUAAUAUAAUUGGCUUCCUUUGUAA